rnacentral:rRNA from 2 species
UCUCCGUUGGUGAACCAGCGGAGGGAUCAUUACCGAGUUUACAACUCCCAAACCCCUGUGAACAUACCACUUGUUGCCUCGGCGGAUCAGCCCGCUCCCGGUAAAACGGGACGGCCCGCCAGAGGACCCCUAAACUCUGUUUCUAUAUGUAACUUCUGAGUAAAACCAUAAAUAAAUCAAAACUUUCAACAACGGAUCUCUUGGUUCUGGCAUCGAUGAAGAACGCAGCAAAAUGCGAUAAGUAAUGUGAAUUGCAGAAUUCAGUGAAUCAUCGAAUCUUUGAACGCACAUUGCGCCCGCCAGUAUUCUGGCGGGCAUGCCUGUUCGAGCGUCAUUUCAACCCUCAAGCACAGCUUGGUGUUGGGACUCGCGUUAAUUCGCGUUCCUCAAAUUGAUUGGCGGUCACGUCGAGCUUCCAUAGCGUAGUAGUAAAACCCUCGUUACUGGUAAUCGUCGCGGCCACGCCGUUAAACCCCAACUUCUGAAUGUUGACCUCGGAUCAGGUAGGAAUACCCGCUGAACUUAA